UCGCUUCAGCAGCACAUAUACUAAAACUGGAAUGAUAUAGAGAAGAUCAUCAUGGCCCCUGCGCAAGGAUGACAUGCAAAUUUGUGAAGCAUUCCAUAUUUUU
ensembl:snRNA U6 U6 spliceosomal RNA